rnacentral:lncRNA from 1 species
UUUUUUUUUAGAAAAUAUUUUUAUAAAUUUUUAUUUUUUUAUUUUUUUUUUCUGACUUUUAAAAAUGUAUAUUUUUUUCUUGAAAUUUUAAAAAUAUUUUUAAAAGUGUGACAUAAAUGGAGAUGGCAAAAUAACCAAAUUACCUUUACUUUUCUGUAACACCCCCAAUAGUUCCACAUCGGGUGGAAUAUUGAUUCCGAUCAGUUUAUAUAAGGCUUCGCACGCUGGUUAUAAUAAUUGUGAUUAAGCAUUUUGGGCCGAUGAUUUGGACUCAACGAGUUAUUAUUGCUGGCAGAUCAGAUCGUUACAUUUGGUAUCAAAGACGAAUACCAGCCGGAAGGCUACGCCUGGUAAUUCUGUGAUUCCGAUCAGUUUAUAUAAGGUCUCGCACCCUAGUUAUAAUAACUGGGCUUAAGCCAUGUUGGCCCGGUGAAAAAAAUAAUUUUUUAAUAUAUUUCUGUCAUUUUAAAAAAUAUUUUGAUAUAAAUUAUAAUAAAUAGAUGAAAUAAUAAUAGUAUCUUGAUGGAGGGGGACUAAAUGUAACAAUAUGAAAUGUUGAGAGAAUAAAAUAUAAUUUUUUUGAAAGUUAGGAAGAAAAAGUGAAAAGACGAAUAUUUAUAAGGGAAUUUUUUAUAAGGGUUAAAUUUAGCCUUUUUUAAGGUCAGUAACUUAUUUUCAGGUCGGACGUUUGCUCAUUUAUCUAUGACUACUAUUCAAAAUUUUUAAAUUUAUUUAAAAUUAUCAAAAUAUCUUUCUAAACUUAUAUUUUAUUAGUAAAUCUUAAAAGUUUAGGUAUAUUAAAUGGAUUUUUGAAAAUUAAUUAAGACGUUUUGAUCAAUCGUGAAUAUAUUAGAUACUUUGAAAUUUUGAAAGGUAUAUUUGAUAUUAUCCCUUUUAAGUUAAAAAUAAUUUUCAAUUAAACUCAAGUUUAGAUGAGAAUUAUUUUUCUCACUGUCGUUUGUUUAACAGAAAGUUAAUAACAAAAUACUUAAAAAAUGAAAAAAAAUAUAACUAGUG